CGGGUCGGUCGGGCGAUCGCGUUGUUCACCGGAGACGGUGGGCGCCGAGGAAAGUCCGGACUCCACAGGGCAACGUGGUGGGUAACGCCCACCCGGGGUAACCCGCGGGACAGUGCCACAGAGAACAGACCGCCAGCGGCCUGGAUGAACCCCGUGGUUCAUCCAGGUGCGGGUGAGGGUGAAACGGUGGUGUAAGAGACCACCAGCUCCGCAGGUGACUGCGGAGGCUCGGUAAACCCCACGUGGAGCAAGGCCAAGAAGGACGGCGGGCAACCGUCGUCCGCGCGAGCGUUCGAGGGCUGCCCGCCCGAGCUCGCGGGUAGGCCGCUAGAGGUGUCCGGCAACGGGCACCGUAGAUAGAUGAUCGCCACCGACAGAAUCCGGCUUACAUGACCGGCCCGUUCA
rnacentral:RNase_P_RNA from 1 species